rnacentral:rRNA from 1 species
CCCAGACUCCUACGGGAGGCAGCAGUGGGGGAUAUUGCACAAUGGGGGGAACCCUGAUGCAGCGACGCCGCGUGGGUGAAGAAGCGCCUCGGCGCGUAAAGCCCUGUCAGCAGGGAAGAAAAUGACGGUACCUGACUAAGAAGCCCCGGCUAACUACGUGCCAGCAGCCGCGGUAAUACGUAGGGGGCAAGCGUUAUCCGGAUUUACUGGGUGUAAAGGGAGCGUAGACGGUAGAGCAAGUCUGAAGUGAAAGCCCGGGGCUCAACCCCGGGACUGCAUUUGGAACUGUGUGGCUGGAGUGCCGGAGAGGCAGGCGGAAUUCCUAGUGUAGCGGUGAAAUGCGUAGAUAUUAGGAGGAACACCAGUGGCGAAGGCGGCCUGCUGGACGAUGACUGACGUUGAGGCUCGAAAGCGUGGGGAGCAAACAGGAUUAGAUACCCUAGUA